rnacentral:tRNA from 1 species
UGCACCCGUAGCUCAGCUGGAUAGAGCGCUGCCCUCCGAAGGCAGAGGCCACAGGUUCGAAUCCUGUCGGGUGCGCCAU